UACGGGGGGGGCAAGCGUUGUUCGGAAUUACUGGGCGUAAAGGGCUCGUAGGCGGCCAACUAAGUCAGACGUGAAAUCCCUCGGCUUAACCGGGGAACUGCAUCUGAUACUGGAUGGCUCGAGUUUGGGAGAGGGAUGCGGAAUUCCAGGUGUAGCGGUGAAAUGCGUAGAUAUCAGGAGGAACACCUGUGGUGUAGACAGCUUACUGGACCACGACUGACGCUGAGACACGAAAGCGUGGGUAGCAAACAGG
rnacentral:rRNA from 1 species